UAGGGAAUCUUCCGCAAUGGGCGAAAGCCUGACGGAGCAACGCCGCGUGAGUGAUGAAGGUCUUCGGAUCGUAAAACUCUGUUAUUAGGGAAGAACAUACGUGUAAGUAACUAUGCACGUCUUGACGGUACCUAAUCAGAAAGCCACGGCUAACUACGUGCCAGCAGCCGCGGUAAUACGUAGGUGGCAAGCGUUAUCCGGGAUUAUUGGGCGUAAAGCGCGCGGAGGCGGUUGUUUAAGUCUGAUGUGAAAGCCCACGGCUCAACCGUGGAGGGUCAGUGGAAACUGGAAAACUUGAGUGCAGAAGAGGAAAGUGGAAUUCCAUGUGUAGCGGUGAAAUGCGCAGAGAUAUGGAGGAACACCAGUGGCGAAGGCGACUUUCUGGUCUGUAACUGACGCUGAUGUGCGAAAGCGUGGGGAUCAAACA
rnacentral:rRNA from 1 species